GUGGGGAAUAUUGGACAAUGGGGGGAACCCUGAUCCAGCCAUGCCGCGUGUGUGAAGAAGGCCUUUUGGUUGUAAAGCACUUUAAGCGAGGAGGAGGCUACCGAGAUUAAUACUCUUGGAUAGUGGACGUUACUCGCAGAAUAAGCACCGGCUAACUCUGUGCCAGCAGCCGCGGUAAUACAGAGGGUGCAAGCGUUAAUCGGAUUUACUGGGCGUAAAGCGCGCGUAGGUGGCCAAUUAAGUCAAAUGUGAAAUCCCCGAGCUUAACUUGGGAAUUGCAUUCGAUACUGGUUGGCUAGAGUAUGGGAGAGGAUGGUAGAAUUCCAGGUGUAGCGGUGAAAUGCGUAGAGAUCUGGAGGAAUACCGAUGGCGAAGGCAGCCAUCUGGCCUAAUACUGACACUGAGGCCCGAAAGCGUGGGGAUCAAACAGGAUUAGAUACCCCAGUAGUCC
rnacentral:rRNA from 1 species